rnacentral:misc_RNA from 1 species
GUGAAUCAUCAAAUUUUUGAACGCAAAUUGCGCUUCCUGGCAUCCCGGGAAGUAUGCCUGUUUGAGGGUAGGUAUUAAUAAAGAUCGGUGUGUUGCUUCUUUGUUACUCUCCGGAGUUUGGGUCAGCCUUAUAGCUUUUAGGUUUUAAGAGGCUUAAAAUUGACUUUUUUUUCGCAUUUUAGAUGUACAUAAAUGCUUUUUUUUAGUCGUCUUUCUGAAUGCUCAUAAUCCU